UUUUUAGUUUUGUCUUUGAAUUUUAGUUUUUGGUUUUUAUACAUUUUCUUAAAACGAUUUAUUAUUAGCUCAAAAACACUUUUAUAUAUUUUAAAUUUGGAUUUAUUAUCCUCCUCAUUUUUUUUCAUUUUGUUCCAGUCUUUGACAUCAAGCUGUAUUAGUAACUACUUUUAUUCGUGUCACCUUGUUGUUGUUGUUUUUUAUGUAGUUUUACUGGCAAUAAAAAAAGUUUUUUUUUAAUAGAUUUUUUUUCAAAAUGGUGUGCAUCAAUAUGAAUACGAUUUGAUCUCAACAUUGAAAUACUGCAGAGGCUACAUAUCAUUAACUGCUACUACAGCUGUAGAUGAUUUUGAAUUGUUUGAAGUAUCUGAUAAUUUUGAUAAAGAUUACAAGAUUGAAAUGUGGAAACUCAGCCACGUGACGCUUCUGAAAAUGAGUCUGAAGUAAAAGAAUCAAAUGACAAAAAAACGAAUGAUGCUGACUCUGAUGAUGAGCCACUUACAAGCAUUACUACGAGAAGAUUGAUUUGGAAAAUUAUCAUUAGGGGUAAAACAGUUAUCAUUAAUUGGGGGUAAAAAUCUAGCUGAUA